rnacentral:misc_RNA from 1 species
AAUUCUCAAACCUUUCUGGCUUUUAUUGGUCGAGAAGGCUUUGGAUGUGGGAGUUGCUGGAACUAGCCUUUCAGCUCUUCUUAAAUGUAUUAGCGGGUUACUGAUUUCCGCUACUUGGUGUUGAUAGUCUAUCUUACGCCUUGUAGUUGAAUCAACUUAUGUAGCUGCUUCUAAUCGUCGACUUGGUUGACAAUAUACUUGACU